CUAAGUUAAGUGGUCGAAAUAUUUAUAUGUAUUUAUAUCACCUGUGGAAGGCUUAGGACCAUAGAAUUGUCCGAGCGAUCCCAUACCU